rnacentral:rRNA from 1 species
UACGGGGGGUCCUAGCGUUGUUCGGAAUCAUUGGGCGUAAAGCGGGUGUAGGCGGAUCAGUCAGUCAGAAGUGAAAGCCCCGGGCUCAACCCGGGAAGGGCUUUUGAUACUGCUGAUCUUGAGUGUGGGAGAGGGUAGUAGAAUUCCAGGUGUAGUGGUGAAAUACGUAGAUAUCUGGAGGAACACCGGUGGCGAAGGCGGCUGCCUGGCCCAACACUGACGCUCAGACCCGAAAGCGUGGGUAGCAAACAGG